rnacentral:sRNA from 1 species
AUGACGUCACAAAAUGUCAGUAAGACUAAGGCUAUGAAAAAUAAACUAUGUGAUGUCUACCACUAUCAAUAACUGAAUAUGAAGAUUUUUUCCCCCGAUGGAAGUUGGAGAACUAAAAAAGGAGUGAAAUUCAAACACUAAGGUUCAGUAGUAAAAGGUGCUGUAUUUCUGCUUCUCCAUUCAAAAUGUAAAGACAUUCCUUUUUUAACUUGGGACAUGUGGAGAAAAUAUGACCUCUUACAGGCAAGUAGUUGAGGGUGAGAAGAUGCAUGGACCGCCUCAAAACAUGUUGAAGAGCACGUUUUAGAAGAAGAUCCUGAAUGUGGAAAUAUACCCUUGGGUCCUCAAGACAGCAGCAUCUGGUACAACUCUUUGACACUUUGAAAUGUAUCCGGUUCCUCAUAAUUUGUCACCAUGUCCAGUCAUCAUCAGAGUGGUUUCCUCUGACAGCAGAUGGAAGCAAGACGCAGAGAUCCACAUUCAGAUCUUGUACCUAAACUGGAGGUCUCCAACCGGUCCCUCUCCUUGGAGAUCUGGGAACCCCAUGGGAGAAAGAGAGGAACGAUUGUAGGAGUCAGAAGGAAGAAGGAAACCAGGAGAAGAUGGUCCAUGGAACCAAGGAUCACUUUGGCUCACAGAGACUGAGUGGCAAACAAGAGACCUGCAAGGGUCUGCACCAUAAAGGGCCUCUCCUUAUAUGUUAUGGCUGUUAGCUUGGUGGUCUUGUGUUACUCUUAAGAGUGGGAGUGAGUAUUAUCUCUGACUCUCUUGAUUGCCUCCCAUUGGAUUGACUUGUCCAGCUGCAAUAUAAAGGGGUUUGUCUUGUCUUAUUGUA